UGAUAAGCAAGAGGACUUCAUUCCAGCGA
rnacentral:piRNA from 1 species